rnacentral:rRNA from 1 species
UACAGAGGGUGCGAGCGUUGUUCGGAAUUAUUGGGCGUAAAGGGUUCGUAGGUGGCUUGUUAAGUCAGACGUGAAAUCCCUCGGCUCAACCGGGGAACUGCGUCUGAGACUGAUGAGCUCGAGUGCAGGAGAGGAACGCGGAAUUCCAGGUGUAGCGGUGAAAUGCGUAGAUAUCUGGAGGAACACCGGUGGCGAAGGCGGCGUUCUGGACUGCAACUGACACUGAGGAACGAAAGCCAGGGGAGCAAACGGG